AGGACGAACGCUGGCGGCGUGCUUAACACAUGCAAGUCGAGCGGAAAGGCCCUUCGGGGUACUCGAGCGGCGAACGGGUGAGUAACACGUGAGUAAUCUGCCCCUAGCUCUGGGAUGGCUCCGGGAAACCGGGAUUAAUACCGGAUACGACCACCUUAGACAUCUUUUGUGGUGGAAAGAAUUUCGGCUAGGGAUGAGCUCGCGGCCUAUCAGCUUGUUGGUGGGGUAACGGCCUACCAAGGCGACGACGGGUAGCCGGCCUGAGAGGGCGACCGGCCACACUGGGACUGAGACACGGCCCAGACUCCUACGGGAGGCAGCAGUGGGGAAUAUUGCGCAAUGGGCGAAAGCCUGACGCAGCGACGCCGCGUGGGGGAUGAAGGCCUUCGGGUUGUAAACCCCUUUCAGCAGGGACGAAGCGAAAGUGACGGUACCUGCAGAAGAAGCGCCGGCUAACUACGCGCCAGCAGCCGC
rnacentral:rRNA from 1 species